CCGCAAGCAAGGGUGAUUUCACAGCUACAAUCAGACUAUUACUAGCCACAGUGCAGACACGGCUGAUAGUUUUAAGUAUGUUAGUUCUAGUUAGUGAAUUUUAAGGACAAACAAUAAACGUAAAUUUUUAGAUACCCUAA